CAAAGAGGAGGUUCUUGGAUGUAGUGAAGGAGGACAUGAGGAUAGUUGGUGUGGGUGAGGAGGAUACAGAGGAUAGGGUUAAAUGGAGGCAGAUGAUUCGCUGUGGCGACCCCUGGAGGGAGCAGCCGAAAGGAAAAGAAGAUUUAAAAACUGCGUGAUGUGUUUACUUGUGUUAUCUUUGACUAAUAUUUAAAUUUGUUUGAUGAUCUGAAACAUUAAAGUGUGACAAAAAUGCAAAAAAAUAAGAAAUCAGGAAGGGGGCCAACACUUUUUCACACCAUUGUAUCUAAUAAUUCUGUUAAAGCACAUUUCUCUCUCAGGUUCAUCCACCCACAAGGACUUAUACCUAAACCACAUACUGAAGUACAAGCAAACCAUUACUCAAACAAAAUCUGACUUCUAUGCCUCUCUUAUUGUAUCCGCCUCUGGCUCCACGCGUUCCCUCUUCUCCACUGUCAAAAAUUUAUUGGGCCCUCCCGAUACUCCUCUCUUCCCCUCACUCUCCACCACCUUGUGCAAUAACUUCCUGGAUUUCUUCUCAUCAAAAAUCGAAAAUAUACACCAGCAAUUUCCCCCCAUCUGUGACACUGCGAACUGCCUCCACUGUACCUUACCCUGUCUAUCAGUAUCCUCCCUGCUUUCGAGUUUUAUCAUUCCACCCACCACGGUUAUCUCUUCCCUGAUCCUCAAAUCCAAACCCUCAACCUGCAAACUUGACCCCCUACCAACCAACCUCGUCAAGCUCUGUCUCCCCUCUCUCCUUCCUCAUGUUACCCACAUUAUUCACACUUCCCUCAGUUCUGGUAUCGUACCCCCAUCACUCAAGACAGCCAUCAUCACACCAAUCCUAAAAAAACCUGGUCUCGAUCCUGCGAACCUUAACAACUUCCGCCCUAUCUCCAAUCUCCCGUUCCUCUCUAAAAUUCUUGAAAAAGUUGUCCACCACCAGGUCCAUACCCACCUUGCCGCCAAUAGCCUAUACGAACACUUUCAAUCUGGUUUCCGCCAACUUCACAGCACUGAAACUGCCCUGGUCAAAAUCACCAACGACCUCCUAGUAGCCACAGACUCUGGCCUUGUCUCCAUCCUCAUCCUCCUUGACCUAACUGCAGCUUUUGACACCAUCUCACACAAUAUUCUCCUUCAUCGCCUUGCUUCCAUCGGCAUAGCCGGCUCGGUCCUCUCAUGGUUCACCUCCUACCUCUCUGACCGCACCCAGUCCGUCCAUCUCCAGAACUUCCACUCUCAGCCCUCUACUGUCAGUUGUGGCGUGCCCC
rnacentral:lncRNA from 1 species